AAUUGAAGGCUUCUGAAAUAUAAGGUUAUACCACCUACUAAUGAUGCUAAUUUACAGUUAAAAAUAACAAUAAACAUUUCAAAUACUAAACUAAUAUAAACUUUAACAAAACUCAUAUGCAAAAUAGAAUAACAAAAAAUGAUAGCAAAUAAAAAGCAACAAAACAAACGUUGCAAAAAAAAAGAACAAAAAAAUAAAAUAGAUAAAAAUAGAUAAAAAAAAUUAUAAUCUUUCCGCGCAUAGCGCGGGUCAACAACUAGUAACAUAUAUAAACAGGUUAAAGCCAAAAUAUGACGAGACG
rnacentral:lncRNA from 1 species